rnacentral:lncRNA from 1 species
GUUGGUGUUUUAGGGUUUAGAUUUGAAGGUUUAGGGUUAUAGGGUUCAGGGUUCGAAUUUCAGAAAAAUAUAGGGUUUAGGGUUUAUGUUUAGGGUUUAGAGUUGAUGUUUUAAGUUUAGAUUUAGGGUUUAGGGUUUAUGUUUAGGGUUUAGAGUUGAUGUUGUAGGGUUUUGAUUUGAAGGUUUAAGGUUUAGGGUUUAGAAUUGAUGUUUCGGGGUUUAGGGUUUAGAGUUGAUGUUUCAUGGUUUAGAGUUUAGAGUUGAUGAUUUAGAGUUGAUGAUUUAGAGUUUAGAGUUGAUGUUUUAAGUUUAGAUUAUUUAACCAUAUGUUUUUUUUUGUCAAAGUUAAUUAAGAAGUUAUAAAUGUCUUUUAUCCUUCAUUAAAGAUAUAGGUAAAAGUGGUUAGUGUAAACAUGAAAAGUGAUACUUUA